rnacentral:rRNA from 1 species
GUGGGGAAUAUUGGACAAUGGGCGAAAGCCUGAUCCAGCCAUGCCGCGUGUGUGAAGAAGGUCUUCGGAUUGUAAAGCACUUUAAGUUGGGAGGAAGGGCAGUAAGUUAAUACCUUGCUGUUUUGACGUUACCGACAGAAUAAGCACCGGCUAACUUCGUGCCAGCAGCCGCGGUAAUACGAAGGGUGCAAGCGUUAAUCGGAAUUACUGGGCGUAAAGCGCGCGUAAGUGGUUUUGUAAGUUGGAGGUGAAAUCCCCGGGCUCAACCUGGGAACUGCCUCCAAAACUGCAUGACUAGAGUACGGUAGAGGGUAGUGGAAUUUCCUGUGUAGCGGUGAAAUGCGUAGAUAUAGGAAGGAACACCAGUGGCGAAGGCGACUACCUGGACUGAUACUGACACUGAGGUGCGAAAGCGUGGGGAGCAAACAGGAUUAGAUACCCCUGUAGUCC